rnacentral:rRNA from 1 species
AAAGAAUAGGAAGUUCUCAACUUAUUUUAUAUUAUUUCAACCCCAAACCAACCUCUUCUACUUACAAAACCUUUUAAAUACUUAGUACCCAAAAGAAAUAUAAUUUCGGCCGCCCCCUCCCAUCAACUAUCUGCAAGAAAGACCACAAAUAAUAAAAGUAAAACGAAUUUGUACCUUUUGCAUCAUGAUCUGACAAGAAGAAAUUAAAUACACAUAAUCUCUAGAAAUAAGCCUGUGAGCUAUAUUAUAAAAUAAGUCUCGUUAUACAGAAACUUUCAAUUUUAAUAUAGAUGUGAAAUGCUUCCCGCACCUUAUGUUAGCUAGUUAAUUAAUAAAGAUACUAAAGUAUUAGUCCCAUGCAAACUCAGCAUAGGAACUCCCCCGUAAGGGGUAAGCUCUUACGGCCCAUAAAAGAACAACCAACAUAAAUCUAAAGGAAAGUAAGAUUAAAAUUAUCUACCUAAAUGAAUUUGUGUUAAAUUUCACCUUUCUGCCCAUUUAAAUUUAUCCAGCCCCUCUUUAAUCUCAAAUUAAUUUUCAAAUAAAAACCCCUUCAAUCUCCUAUUAAUGUUAAAAUGAGUAUUAAUNCCCUACAAACACCAAAUAUUAUUAACAAGGUGUUCAAUCCAUCUACAAUACCAAACAAAAUAUGAAAAGGAACUCGGCAACUCCAAGUUUCGAAUGUUUACCAAAAACAUCUCUCUAUGCCUUCUUAUAGAGUAAGGCCUGCCCAAUGUAAAUAUCAAUGGCCGCGGUACUUUGACCGUGCGAAGGUAGCAUAAUCAUUUGUUUUCUAAUUAAAAACUAGUAUGAAAGGCUAAACGAAGCUUAUCUGUCUCCUUCAUACCCAAAAAAUUAAUCUUAAUGUGAAGAAGCAUUAAUAAACUUAAAAGACGAAAAGACCCUGUUGAGUUUUAGUAUAAAGGCUAUCUGAAGCCCCUUUUACUUUUGUUGGGGCGACAUAGGAGUAAUAAAACCUCCUCUCUUUUUAAUUCAAUAUCCAUACGACCCAAACCCUUUAAUAAACAUUUUUGACCAUUAGAUAAAUUACCACAGGGAUAACAGCGUAAUUUUUUUUGAAAGCUCUAAUUAACAAAAAAGUUUGCGACCUCGAUGUUGGACUAAGGCCUCCUUAAGGCGCAGCCGCCUUAACAGAUAGUCUGUUCGACUAUUUAAUUCUUACAUGAUCUGAGUUAAAACCGGCGUAAGCCAGGUUGGUUUCUAUCUUUCUGUAAACCUUCAUCUCUAGUACGAAAGGACCGAAAUGAAUAAAUAUUUUAUACCCCCCCCAAAAUAAGGCCCACAAUAAACCAUUUAGUUGGCAGAAUAAUGCGCUUGAUUUAGAAUCAAUCCAUGAUCACAGGAUCA